GGGGAGGUAAGGUCCAUGCUUAGCAUGCAUGAGGUCCUGGGUUCAAUCCCCAGCAUCUCCA
rnacentral:tRNA from 1 species